UUCCUACGGGGGGCAGCAGUGGGGGAUAUUGCACAAUGGGGGAAACCCUGAUGCAGCAACGCCGCGUGAGUGAAGAAGGUCUUCGGAUUGUAAAGCUCUGUUCUUGGUGAAAGCAAUGACGGUACCUGACCAAGAAGCCCCGGCUAACUACGUGCCAGCAGCCGCGGUAAUACGUAGGGGGCAAGCGUUAUCCGGAAUUACUGGGUGUAAAGGGAGCGUAGACGGCUGUGCAAGUCUGGAGUGAAAGGCGGGGGCCCAACCCCCGGACUGCUCUGGAAACUGUAUGGCUGGAGUGCAGGAGAGGG
rnacentral:rRNA from 1 species